AUUCCCGUUGUUGGUGCUCCCCUUGGGGGCAUCGCGGCAGCCCUGGCUCAUGGGGUCAGGGCUGUGGAGGACGGGAUUAACUAUGCAACAGGGAAUCUUCCCGGUUGCUCCUU
rfam:Hepatitis C virus subtype 6e N12-2804-Cam gene for polyprotein, complete cds